AGAUAAUAAAGACAUGAAGACGUACAAUUUUGAACACAAUUUAGCGUGUCUUGCCGGAAAUUGAUUGCUCAAUGCUGGCGCAUGAGUGGCCGAAGUGGAAAAGAUCAUUCAUCAUGUAUAUGAUAGCUUCAACAAAGAUGCAGAGCCAGAACCAAAAAGAUUGCCAUAUUCUUGUGGUUGGCUGGGUCAAAAGCUACGGAAAUAUACAAUGUUUCCCAACGAUGGAACUGCACUUGGCAUGGUAGCACCAUGGCGACAUCUUCAGAGUUGUUUACAUCUUCGCCUACUGCUGCGAUCGUUAGCCGUUCACUGGAUGACUUUCGUUCAUUUGAUGACUAUAGUUUCAUUCCGAAACAUCACGAUGGAGUCCUACAAGUUCAACAACAUCUUUCAAGCUGAGGGACAACCUUUCAUAGAGUUUGACUCAACUUCGCAAGCAGGUACAGUUAUAUGACUACAAAUGUGACUGUGGCCAAGCAUAUGAAGAACGGAUGCUCCUGUAUUGCUUCAUAAUCGGCAUAAAUGAUAAAAGACUGCAGCUAAAACUACUUGAAUCAAAAAAUAGGAAGCUGGAGGAGAUCGUCACCGAAUGUAAAGCAUUUGAAGCAGCCGCCAAAAACAAUGAAUUUCCUUCAGAACUAGAAUCGUGAGAACGCUGUUAACGCAGUAGUCCGUCGCUCCUAUAACUGUGGACCAAUUUACAAUCCGAAUCAUCUUUCUGAGUGCCGUACAAAGCGAACAACGUUCUACUCUUGUGGAAAAUCUGGACACUUCGCCAAAUACUGUAAGCAGAAGAGACAUGUGAACAACAACAACAGCGACAGCCGACCAGUGGAUAGUAAGAACUACAGUUAAAACUUGGAGUUAAAAAAGAAAACGUUCUUAUUUUUGAUUAUAAUAAUGUUAAAGUUAAUAAUUUUGAAAAAGCUAAAGCAAUCUGUUCUGAUCCGAAUUCAGAAACAGUAAAUUGUAUUGAAUUUUUAGUUUUUGACUCAAAAUGUUAACCAUUAAUAGGUCUUAAGUCCUCUGUAGAAUUAAACCUCAUUAAACAUUUGAAUAUUGA